GAAAAAAAUUCGAAUUCGAACCUGUUCAGAGGUAUUCAAAAACCUUUUCCUGUUGUUCAUUAUGUUCAGACACACGCACACACAAACAUCUGUCCAUCAUCAUUAUUACGAAUCCAUUAAAGAAUGCUUAAUAGCAAUGGAAUGUCAAGAUUAUAUUGAUUAUUAUAAGAUUAAAAAAAUGAUUUAAUCAAAUAAAAUAUUGUCAUAAACAGCAAUGAAAAUUUGAUCAAAAAUCAUCUCUGAUCUAUAUAUAGAUGGAGAGAUAAAAAGCAAUCAAUUGAACAACGCCGUUCGAAAACAUAUAUUGGUGAAUGAUCAUCAUCCGAACGAAAUUUAUCGAAACUUUCAAUAUAUGAUUGAUCUUGUAUUAAUGGCUUCGAGAAUAGAAAACCUGGAUACAGUUCGGAUAGCAAUAUUGGAAGUUCAACAUUUAUGUUGGAACAAAUGAUAUUCUGAACAACGGCCAAGUCACAUUUCCUAAGUCAUUACUUGGAUAUGUGGCUAUAUGGCAUGGCCAAUUGCUCAAAUUUUCAGCAGUGCGAUUCUCGAAAGGCAGCACGCUUCCUUGAAACAGCAUUAUAAACAAAGCAAGAAUUUCAGGAACGUUGCUAAAUCUUUGGCUCGUCUGUAUCAGGAGUUAAUUUAUAAAUAAAAAAAAUCUGGACUUCUG